rnacentral:rRNA from 1 species
UGGGAAUAUUGGCACAAUGGGCGCAAGCCUGAUGCAGCCAUGCCGCGUGUGUGAAGAAGGCCUUCGGGUAGUAAAGCACUUUCAACGAGGAGGAAGGUGGUGAGCUUAAUACGCUCAUCAAUUGACGUUACUCGCAGAAGAAGCACCGGCUAACUCCGUGCCAGCAGCCGCGGUAAUACGGAGGGUGCAAGCGUUAAUCGGAAUUACUGGGCGUAAAGCGCACGCAGGCGGUUUGUUAAGUCAGAUGUGAAAUCCCCGGGCUCAACCUGGGAACUGCAUUUGAAACUGGCAAGCUAGAGUCUCGUAGAGGGGGGUAGAAUUCCAGGUGUAGCGGUGAAAUGCGUAGAGAUCUGGAGGAAUACCGGUGGCGAAAGGCGGCCCCCUGGANGAAGACUGACGCUCAGGUGCGAAAGCGUGGGGAGCAAACAGAUUAGAUACCCUGGUAGUCCACGCUGUAAAACGAUGUCGA